GAGGUGAAACCGAGCAAUGAAAUAUAUGAAAAUAACAUUGUGUGUAUUUUCUGGAAUGCCAGAUCCGGAAUAUAUAAUCCAUUUCAAAGAUCCAGAUUACAACAGAAUUAAUGGCAUGCUACCUAAGGCAGGUAGUUUUCAACUUCCGUCUGUGCUUGGCUAUGCGGGAUAUAUUGCUGAGAAGAAACGGCCUUCACUUUCAUCGUGUUGUUCUUUCUGUUCUAGGAUAGCAAUUCCGCGUGGAUUUAAUACUGAACUGGAACAGUUACUGUUUGAUAAGGGUAAAUUUGACGAAGGCUUGCGAACAAUAGUGUAUAGUGUACAGGAUCAAGUAACUAUAUAAAAUUUAGGACCUAGGGGACACUUAAAAUUAUUUUAAGAUGUAAUUGUAGAUGAAAAUAUGUGUUGUUAGAAUAUGCAGACUAUUAAAAUUUGCGAACAGUUUAUUUAAUGUUGUGUGUAGUUAGGAACAAAUCUAAUUUAUGUGUAAUGACGAUACAAUUUACUAUUUCACAGCAACAAUCUGCCAUGAAGUACUUUUAAAGUAAACGUGUAUUUUAUACUCGUAAUGCCUGUAUAUAAUAUUUUGAUUUGUAAUCGUCUGAUUACAAAUAAAAUAUUAAAAGGUUUCUAAUAUAACAUGAUGUUUUAUGCUAGAUAUGUUGAUAUAUGUUAUCUAUGUCAUAAACAUGUGUUCCUAUGGCUCUCAUGACUAUUUAUGAUAUUGUGUGUUAUACUAUAUUUUUUUUAAUGAGACCAUAAUUAAUUAUUUGUUGUUGUUGGUAAUGUGUAUAAAGUAAAGGUUAACAACGAAUGACAUUUUUAUUCUUAAUCAAAUGAUUCUCCCUCAGAAUGAUUCAUAAUGUGUGUAUGUGUACUUAUUUUCUAUACAUUGUGACUUGGAUGUAAAGUUGUCUCAUUGACACUCAUAACACAUCUUCUUUUUUUUAAUAUUUGUCCUUACUCAUACAUGAUUGCCAAUGUGACAACUCUCCAAAAGAGAACAAAUGACACAGAAUUUAACAACUAUAGGUAACCGGACGGCCUCCAACAAUGAGCAAAGUUUAUAACGCAAAGUCAACUAUAAAAAGCUAUAUAUUACACGUCUUACAUAAACUGCUGACAGGAUUAUCACCCUUCCAAAAAGUUCUCUGAAAACAAAAACAGUAACACAAAAGAUCGCUUGCUGGAAUAAAAUAACUCAGGUGAAACAAAUAAACAUAUACAUGACAUAUUCGCAAUAAUCAGAUAAAAAGUUAAUUUAAAUAUGCAAUUUUCCAUAAAAAAAACCCAUUAAAUACAACCAUCGAGUAAAAUUUGGAACAGUAAUUCGGUUCAAAAGGUAUAUUUAUUCGUUAAACGUAAAUACAUAUGUUAAUAUUUUGCUUGACCUGGGUCGUCACGACUACGGCUGUAUUGUUUGUCCUAAAUCUCAUCAUCAGCUCAGUAGCUAUAGUUAACACUUCAGUACUCGCAUACAUAAGGUCACCAGUGUAAACCGCGAUUAGGAAGUCAUAAAUCGAUUGAAGAAAACAAAUACGAGUCAAACGAAAUCCGAGGGAAACACAUCAACUAUAAGAGUAAGUGUAAGAAUAAAACCAAAAGACAAUGCAACACACAUAGACACAAACUAUGAGAAAGCAACUGCAAUUUUCCUGACCUGGUACAGGAAAUAACUCAUACCUUUCUCAAAUUGUUUAAUCAUAAAUUCAGUGAGUACUACUAUAUUACCUCAGGGAAAUGGUUAUUAUUGGUUUAAUUUCAAAACAUUGCUCCCUAUUUUGAUCAAUUACUGAUAUAUGU